rnacentral:ribozyme from 1 species
UGCAACACUGCACUGGUAAGGUAUGGAUCCGAAACCUCUUAAAGAUCAAAAAAGGCUAUCCACACCCUAUAUCGACUCAAAACGUCCCCGGCGUACAGAACAGUAACAUUACUCUCCAAUUAUCUGAUCUUAGGAAUUCGGGGAAACCCAACCCCUAGGGAAGAUAGGUGAGACAGGAGAGGC